AGUUGGUAGGGUAACGGCCUACCAAGGCAAUGACGGGUAGGGGACCUGAGAGGGUGGUCCCCCACAAUGGAACUGAAACACGGUCCAUACACCUACGGGUGGCAGCAGUAGGGAAUAUUAGUAAUGGGCGGAAGCCUGAACUAGCAACACCGCGUGUGCGAAGAAGGCCUUCGGGUUGUAAAGCACUUUUAGAGAGGAUGAGGAAGGACGGUACUCUCUGAAUAAGUCUCGGCUAACUACGUGCCAGCAGCCGCGGUAACACGUAGGAGGCAAACGUUAUCCGGAUUUACUGGGCGUAAAGCGCAUGUAGGUGGUUCUGUAAGUAGGGCGUGAAAGCUCCCGGCUCAACUGGGAGAGGCCGUUCUAAACUACAGAGCUAGAGGAUGGUAGAGGGAGGUGGAAUUCCGGGUGUAGCGGUGGAAUGCGCAGAUAUCCGGAGGAACACCAGUGGCGAAAGCGGCCUCCUGGUCCAUUCCUGACACUCAGAUGCGAAAGCUAGGGUAGCAAACGGGAUUAGAGACCCCGGUAGUCCUAGCCCUAAACGAUGUUUACUUGGUGUCGGUGGCCUAAUCGCCAUCGGUAUCGAAGCUAACG
rnacentral:rRNA from 1 species